ensembl:snoRNA
AUCCUUUUCCAGUUCCUAAACAUGAUAAUUGGGCAUUCACAGGUUUGCGUGACAUGUCUCCCUUAGAUCUCAUUACACAUUUGGCACAUUACCCAUUUGGCA